UACACCUACCUUUGUACGGACCAAGUAGAAUUUCAAGAAAGUUUCGAUUGCAAAUUGGCAAUCGAUGAUCGACGACUAACAACCGCUUUCAACGUAAUUGGUGAGCAAUUGAUAAAAUUGAAGAUCUUCAUCGCACAUAAAAGAUCAAAGGAAAGGGACGAAUAACGCAAAAAUCAACUAACCAUUGAUUCGUCAGUUGGGGAUGAGUCAGUGCACGUGUCUUCUACCGUCGAUUUAUUGAAUUUGAAUUUUACGAUUGAAAACCUUGCACGAUAUCUACGUUGGAAUGUCAGGGAAAAUAUCGUCUGCCAUUUUUAACACUUUAUACGAGUGAAAUAUGUCGAGCUUAUUCGAUGUAUGAACGAAGGAACGCGUGGAUAAAUUGUAAAGUAGAAAAUAUCUUUUAACACAGAGAAGUUAGAAAGAAGACUGAAGAAGAAGCAUUCUGCAGACCUCAUAAUAGGACAAUAAACGAUCUGGAAGAUGGAGUCCCGCUGAGAGUAACAAUCCACGUGCUAUAUUUUAUCAGAUAUUUAAGCUAUAAUAUUUUACCAAAUGUCCUACUGGACAAAU